rnacentral:rRNA from 1 species
AUCUGGCUGACUCUGUGAGAAGUCAUACGCAUGUCUCAGAGAUUGAGCCGUGCAUAUCUACGCACAUACCGCGAUACGGUGAAACCGUGAAUGGCUUAAUAAAACACCUGUGGUUCCUUAGAUCGUAAAUAAUGCACCUAUAGUCCUCUAUGUCUGUAGUACUUAUUUAGCUAGUACAUGCCACUAUGCCCUGACCCGUGAGGGAACAGGCGGGUUUAUUGAAAGGGAACCGAACUUUUUUGGCUUCUGCUGCUUUCCUUGUACUCUGUGACGAUUUUGGAUAACUUCACUAAAUGCAUCGAUCUUGUGUCGGCGACAUAUUUUCCAAAUUCCUGCCCUAUCAGUUUACGAUCGUAGGUGACCUGCCUGCCAUGGUGAUAGCGAGUAGCGAAGAAUCAGGGUUUGAUUCCCAAGAGAAAGCCUGAGAAACGGCUACCAUUUCCCAGGAACACAGUAGGCAUGCAAACUACUCAAUCCCAGCCCGGGGUGGUAGUGACAAUAACUACUAAGGCGGGAACCAACGGAGUCUAUGUAAUUCGAAUGAAGACCGUUUAGAUCCUUUAACAGGAGUCAGCUGGGAGCAAGGCUGUGCCGGCAGCCGCGGUAACUCCAGCCCCAGAAGCGUAUAGUCAAGUUGUUGCAGUUAAAGAAUAUGUUCACUUUGAACAAGUUUGAAUGCACACGGCAGGCCUUUUUGUCUAAAACUUUUGUGUGGAAUAAUGGAAUAAGACUUCUGUUCUAUUUUGUUGGUUUCCGGACAAGAAGUAAUAAAUAUGAGGGGCAGAAGAGGACAUUUUUAUAGCGGUGUUAGAGAUGAUACUCUUGGAUCGCCGCCAAAUAAACUACGGCAGGAGCAUUUGCUAAGGACGUUUUCAUUGAACUGAAGCGCAAAUCAGAUGUUCAAAGUCGCUUAAAUACCUUCUCAUCUCCGACCGACCGACAGUCCAGUUCCAGCGGGCGUUUCCCGGGUAACCUUUGAGUCUUCGGGCUCCGAGGGAUGUGUAGUUGCAGAGGUUCAACUCAAAGUAAUUGACGGAAGAGCACCACAAUGAGACAACUCAUUGGCUUAAUUUGACUAAACUCAGGAAAUCUCACCCUGCGUGGACGCUGUAAAGCUUGAGGGGUGGAAAGAUUUCCUGUUGACUCUGCGGUCGGUGGUGAACGGCCGUUCUUAGUUGGUGGAGCGAUUUAUCUGGCAAAUACCGAUUACAAACGAGACUUUGGCCUGUUAAAUAGUAUGCCUGUCCUCUGUGUCCGUGUGGGUGGUGAUGCUGGUUGCUUUUUCCGUGGUGGUUGUGCCGUUCGCCUACGGGUGCUUAGCAGGUUUUUAUUCCUUAGAGGGACAAGCGGAGUGACAGUCUCACAAAAAUGAGCAACAACAAGUCUGUGGUUCCCUUAGAUGCCUGGGGCUGCACGUGCGUUACAAUGACGAUUUCAACAAGUCUGACAAUCUGGCCGAAAGGGUUGAGCAAGUUGGGUCAUCCCCGUCAUGAAUGGGAUCGGUGGUUGCAACUGUUCCCCGUGAACUAGGAAGUUGCUUUAAGUGCAAGUUAUAAGCUUGCGCGGACUACAUCCCUCCCUUUUGUACAAACCGUCCCUCGCUACUACCGAUUGAAUGGUUUAUCAAGGUCCCACAUUAGUGUCAUUUUAGUUGUUUCGGCAGCUCGGCCAGCGCUGUGAUCACGACCAUACUUGAUCAUUCAGAGGAAGUAAAAUGCCUAAACGAACAAAGGGACAAGUAUCUUCAACUGGUAGUCAU